rnacentral:rRNA from 1 species
UACGUAGGGGGCAAGCGUUGUCCGGAUUUAUUGGGCGUAAAGAGCGUGUAGGCGGCCAGGUAGGUCCGUUGUGAAAACUGGAGGCUUAACCUCCAGCUGUCGAUGGAAACCAUCUGGCUAGAGUCCGGAAGAGGAGAGUGGAAUUCCUGGUGUAGCGGUGAAAUGCGCAGAUAUCAAGGAGGAACACCAAUGGCGAAGGCAGCUCGC